rnacentral:rRNA from 1 species
ACACGACUACAUUAGAUACCCCCGUAGUCCCAGCCGUAAACUAUGCGCGUUAGGUGUAUCGGUGACCACGAGUCACCGAGGUGCCGAAGGGAAACCGUGAAACGUGCCGCCUGGGAAGUACGGUCGCAAGGCUGAAACUUAAAGGAAUUGGCGGGGAGCACCACAACGGGUGGAGCCUGCGGUUUAAUUGGACUCAACGCCGGGAAGCUCACCGGAUAAGACAGCGGAAUGAUUGCCGGGCUGAAGACUCUGCAUGACUAGCUG